rnacentral:rRNA from 1 species
AGUCAACCUACCCUAUGGACGGGAAUAAUCUCGGGAAACUGAGGAUAAUUCCAGAUAGAACACUAUGCCUGGAACGGUUUGUGUUCCAAAUGAUUUAUCGCCGUAGGAUGGGACUGCGUCCUAUCAGUUUGUUGGUGAGGUAAUGGCCCACCAAGACUAUUACAGGUACGGGCUCUGAGAGGGGUAGCCCGGAGAUGGGUACUGAGACACGGACCCAGGCCCUAUGGGGCGCAGCAGGCGAGAAAACUUUGCAAUGUGCGAAAGCACGACAAGGUUAAUCCGAGUGGUUCCUGCUAAAGGAACCUUUUGACGGUCCUAAAAACACCGUUGAAUAAGGGGUGGGCAAGUUCUGGUGUCAGCCGCCGCGGUAAAACCAGCACCUCAAGUGGUCAGGAUGAUUAUUGGGCCUAAAGCAUCCGUAGCCGGCUCUGUGAGUUUUCGGUUAAAUCUGUGCGCUCAACGUACAGGCUGCCGGGAAUACUGCAGAGCUAGGGAGUGGGAGAGGUAGACGGUACUUGGUAGGAAGGGGUAAAAUCCUUUGAUCUAUUGAUGACCACCUGUGGCGAAGGCGGUCUACCAGAACACGUCCGACGGUGAGGGAUGAAAGCUGGGGGAGCAAACCGGAUUAGAUACCCGGGUAGUCCCAGCUGUAAACCAUGCAGACUCAAUGAUGCAUUGGCUUGAAGCCAAUGCAGUGUU